rnacentral:rRNA from 1 species
GACGUAGGGCGCGAGCGUUGUCCGGAUUUAUUGGGCGUAAAGAGCUCGUAGGCGGCUUGUCGCGUCGACUGUGAAAACCCGUGGCUCAACCAUGUGGUCUGCAGUCGAUACGGGCAGGCUAGAAUUCGGUAGGGGAGACUGGAAUUCCUGGUGUAGCGGUGAAAUGCGCAGAUAUCAGGAGGAACACCGGUGGCGAAGGCUGGUCUCUGGGCCGUAACUGACGCUGAGGAGCGAAAGCAUGGGGAGCGAACAGG